rnacentral:rRNA from 1 species
GACAGAGGGUGCAAACGUUGUUCGGAAUUACUGGGCGUAAAGCGCGUGUAGGCGGCCAUCUAAGUCGGGCGUGAAAUCCCACGGCUCAACCGUGGAAGUGCACUCGAAACUGGAUGGCUAGAAUCCUGGAGAGGAAGGUGGAAUGCUUGGUGUAGAGGUGAAAUUCGUAGAUAUCAAGCGGAACACCGGUGGCGAAGGCGGCCUUCUGGACAGUGACUGACGCUGAGACGCGAAAGCGUGGGGAGCAAACAGG